AGGGNGCAAGCGUANCGGAAUUACNGGGCGUAAAGCGUGCCAGGCGGUUAAGUAAGACAGAUGUGAAAUUCCCGGGCUCAACCNGGNNACUGCAUUUGUGACUGCNNGACUAGAGUGCGGCAGAGGGGAGUGGAAUUCCGCGUGUAGCAGUGAAAUGCGUAGAUAUGCGGAGGAACACCGAUGGCGAAGGCAACUCCCNGGGCCUGCACUGACGCUCAUGCRCGAAAGCGUGGGGAGCAAACAGGAUUAGAUACCCUGGUAGUCCACGCCCUAAACGAUGUCGACUAGUUGUUGGACGGGUUACUGUUCAGUAACGUACGUAACGCGUGAAGUCGACCGCCNNGGGAGNACGGCC
rnacentral:rRNA from 1 species